AGGACGAACGCUGGCGGCGUGCUUAACACAUGCAAGUCGAACGGAAAGGCCCGGCUUGCGGGUACUCGAGUGGCGAACGGGUGAGUAACACGUGGGCAACCUGCCCUCAGCUCUGGGAUAACUCCGGGAAACCGGUGCUAAUACUGGAUAUCGACUUCUGCUCGCAUGGGUGGUUGUUGAAAGUUUUUCGGCUGGGGAUGGGCCCGCGGCCUAUCAGCUUGUUGGUGGGGUGAUGGCCUACCAAGGCGACGACGGGUA
rnacentral:rRNA from 1 species